UGCCAGCCGCCGCGGUAAGACGGAGGGUCCUAGCGUUGUUCGGAAUGACUGGGCGUAAAGGGUACGUAGGCGGUUUGGUCAGUUAGAUGUGAAAGCCCAGGGCUCAACCUUGGAACUGCAUUUAAUACUGCCUGACUUGAGAUCGGAAGAGGAAAGCGGAAUUUCUAGUGUAGAGGUGAAAUUCGUAGAUAUAGGAAGAACACCAGUGGCGAAGGCGGCUAACUGGCUCGGUACUGACGCUGAGAUGCGAAAGCGUGGGGAGCAAACAGGAUUAGAUA
rnacentral:rRNA from 1 species